rnacentral:rRNA from 1 species
GUGGGGAAUUUUGGACAAUGGGCGCAAGCCUGAUCCAGCAAUGCCGCGUGCAGGAAGAAGGCCUUCGGGUUGUAAACUGCUUUUGUACGGAACGAAACGGUCCGGGUUAAUACCCGGGGCUAAUGACGGUACCGUAAGAAUAAGCACCGGCUAACUACGUGCCAGCAGCCGCGGUAAUACGUAGGGUGCAAGCGUUAAUCGGAAUUACUGGGCGUAAAGCGUGCGCAGGCGGUUGUGUAAGACAGGCGUGAAAUCCCCGGGCUCAACCUGGGAAUUGCGCUUGUGACUGCAAGGCUGGAGUGCGGCAGAGGGGGAUGGAAUUCCGCGUGUAGCAGUGAAAUGCGUAGAUAUGCGGAGGAACACCGAUGGCGAAGGCAAUCCCCUGGGCCUGCACUGACGCUCAUGCACGAAAGCGUGGGGAGCAAACAGGAUUAGAAACCCCGGUAGUCC